AAGAAGAAAAUCUUAUCCUAAUACUACCCCAACUUCCCCACAUUUCCCUCAACUUCCUCCCCACAUAAUCCUACUGACUCAACUCCCUCAACUACAACAAUUCCUCAAUCUUUAUAUACACAACACAAAGACAACAUACAGAGGAGGACAGACAGAAGAUUGAAAAAAAAAGACAAGACACAAACUUGAAAAACCAAAAUUGAAAGAAACAAAGAGAGAAAAAGUAACGAGAAGGAUAAAAACACAAAGAAAAAAGAAAGAAAACAAAGGGAGAGAGAAAAGAAAGAGUUCCGAAUCGAGUAUCGAUUUUCGUUUGAGUUUGCGGUGACAACAUUCUUACUUUCAACUUUUGGGUAAUAUAAUGAAUGCGAAGAUUGGAGGAUUUUGAGAUAAAAGAGGUCAGCAAGGAAUUCUUCUUUAUGAAAAUACUAAUCAUCAAUUUUCUAUAAGAUUUUUUAAAACAGUAUUCAACUUUUGUCUCUUCAUCUAAUGAUAUUCUAAUAUUUGGUGUA